rnacentral:rRNA from 1 species
GACGAACGCUGGCGGCGUGCUUAACACAUGCAAGUCGAACGGAAAGGCCCCUUUGGGGGUACUCGAGUGGUGAACGGGUGAGUAACACGUGAGUAACCUGCCCUUGACUUCGGGAUAACUUCAGGAAACUGGGGCUAAUACCGGAUAGGAAUCCUUGCUGCAUGGUGGGGGUUGGAAAGCUUCGGCGGUUUUGGAUGGACUCGCGGCUUAUCAGCUUGUUGGUGGGGUAGUGGCUUACCAAGGCUUUGACGGGUAGCCGGCCUGAGAGGGCGACCGGCCACAUUGGGACUGAGAUACGGCCCAGACUCCUACGGGAGGCAGCAGUGGGGAAUAUUGCACAAUGGGCGGAAGCCUGAUGCAGCAACGCCGCGUGCGGGAUGACGGCCUUCGGGUUGUAAACCGCUUUCAGCAGGGGCGAAGCUUGUGGUGACGGUACCUGCAGAAGAAGCACCGGCUAACUACGUG